rnacentral:rRNA from 1 species
GCGUUGUCCGGAAUCAUUGGGCGUAAAGCGCGUGUAGGCGGCUCGCUAAGUCUUGCGUGAAAUCUCGGGGCUCAACCCCGAGCGGUCGUGAGAAACUGGCGGGCUAGAGUGCGGGAGAGGAGAGUGGAAUUCCUGGUGUAGCGGUGAAAUGCGCAGAUAUCAGGAGGAACACCGGGGGCGAAGGCGGGUCGCUGGGCAGGAACUGACGCUGAGGAGCGAAAGCGUGGGGAGCGAACAGG